UGUUUUGAACUGAAGCUCGUUCCUGCCUCCCUUCCAGAACUCGUAGCCAGGGUCUCCAGCCAUCUGCUGGACUCUGCUCAGAACCUCCCUCACGCCCCUCAAAUCCAGCACAUCCCAAACCAGAGCCUUCUCUACACCCACCUUAAGGCAAUUUCUCAUCCUCCCUUAUCUCGGCCAGGGGUGCAGCAGUCACUGGGCCCACACAGCUGUGGACAACCGCCCUCCAAGGACAGAACCUGCCCACCUGAAGCUGGGGCCAGCGAGAACUUGCCCAAGUGGCUGGAGGAAGCUGCUGGGUGGUGGUGGCUGGAGUUCCCUGGGGUGAGCGCGUUUGGCAGAUGUCACUGCGGCAGGGUAAUAUCACCAACUCGGUUCCCUCAGGAGAUUCAGGUACAAGACCAGGUGUACACAGGUACACCUCCUGUGGGUGGAUACUUAAUCUUUGUGGGUAGGAGGCAGAGAGAAGAGGUGGGCUGGGGGAGGGGACGUCUCCCUGAGGGGCACAGCUGACUCCCCGCCCUAGUCAAGAGCUGGAAGCUGAACCUUGACCUUCCCCUUCUCGAACUCUCCUCUUUCUCCGCAGUGGGGACCAGCAAGGAGAACAGGGCUGAGAACAGACUGAGCGAAAGGACUUUCAGCGAACACAGGAGAGGCCUGGGGAGAAGGUGUCUAAAGUUGGAGGCCAGCCAGAUGAAGGCAUGAGAAGAGGUGGUUAGUGACCUGCGGGGUCUCUGGUGUGAGUGUCCCCAGAUUAAAACACUGAAGAACCAUGGUGACGGUAGACUAGCAUGACUUUCCAGUCAUUGAGCAAAUAGUGAUUAAGCAGCAGUAUGAAUUGAUACUGCCCUGGAAAGGUGUCGUAUGGCAGAGAGGAGCAUCCUCUUUGUCCUUGCCCCAAACCGCCAUCCCAGCACCGAGCAUUCUCCUCGGUAUGGAUUAAGCCUCCCACACAAUUUUGUCAAAUGAAUGAGGAUCUUCAAUUCUAGCGAGAGGGCAAAUCCAACAUCAAGAAAUAGCAGAAAUGACCAUGGGACGACAUCAAAUUGAGUGUUAACACACGCUAUAGCAGGGAUGGACCUCGGGGACACUGUGCUAAGUGAAACAAGCCAGUCACAAAGACAAAGACCGUAUGAUCCUAUGAUUCCACUCUCACAAGGGACUUAGAGUCAAAUUCACAGACAGAAAGUAGAACGGCGGUGGCCGGGGACUGGGGGGUGGACGAGGACUUGUCUAAUGAGUACAGCGUUCCAGUUCGGAAGAUGGAAGGAGUCCUGGAGAUUGGUUGCACAACAUUGUGAGUGUGCUGAACACUACUGAACUGGACACUUAAAAAUGGUUAAGAUGGUAACUUUCGUGUCAUGUGUAUUUUACCACAAUUAAAAAUUUUUUAAUUUUAAAACAUAAAUAAUUGUGUCACAUUGUAUGGGGGUGGUAGAGAUUGUUAGUUUUCCUUGAUAUCUGUUCUCCCUUUUUUCGGUAGAAAUAGAAACCAUAUCUGGGUGCAAGGCCACCCCAGAAUGAAGACUACAUUUCCCAACAUCCCUUGCAGGUAGGUGUGGCAGGUGAGUGGAAGGGUCCUGUGAGAGCUUCUGGGACUUCCUUAAGAGACACCUUUUAUGGCUCCUCUUUGUCCCUUCCCCCACUGGCUGCCAGGAGCAUGGGUGCUACCAUCUUGGAUCAUGAAGUUGGGCAUCAUGAGCUCGUGGAGGUCACACCUGGUAGAGAGUAAGGUGUGAGGUCCUGAAAUGGAAACACCAUAUCAGCCCUAUCUCCCUGUCCAGACUUCUGUGUGAGAGAGAAAUAGACUGCCGUCUCCUUCACGCCACAGCUAUUUUUGUUUUUUGUUGUUUGUACCCAAACUUCAUCCUAAUGAUCACAGAGGGGUAGAGUGAAUGAUGGCUGGAUUUCAAGGAACAGAAAGGACCGUGAUGGUUAGAGCAUUCAAGGAAGGCCACAGAUGGGGUUGGAGCCGAGCUGUCCUGACGGAUGAAUGAGGCCUGGUCCGCGUCCUCUAGGAGCUCACUGUCUAGUGGGAGAAAUGGACAUUUACACAUUCUCUGUAGCCAGGGCUACUCCAUCAGCAGACAUCUGGGAGCCCUUGCCAUGUGUCACGUCCAGCAUGUGGACUCAUAUUUAAUCCUCAAAACAGCCCUAUGAGGUAGGUACUAUUCUUAUCAUCCCCAGUUUUCAGGGGGAAACAGGCUUGUGGAGGUUAAGCAGCUGGUCAAGGUCGUAUAGAGAAGUGGCAGAGCUGGGAUGGCGACCCAGGCGGUUUGAUCCUCAGCCACUUCACUAGGCGAGUGUGAGGGAACCCAAAGGAAGGGUGUUCAUGGUCGUUUGUAGGGUUCUGGAAAGCUCCAUGCAGAGGUGACGUUUGUACUGAGCCUUGAAGGAGGCCCAGUGGGGAGGGCGUUCCACAGCGAGGACAUGGCAGAGGCGGCAGUGUGGCGGGGAGCAGGUGAGGCCGACCCAAGAGGGGUGAGGUGGGAGACAGGACGGGAGGAGAGAGGGCUCACCUCCACGCAGAGGGCUGGGAGGAAGCCGUCUCUUGGGCUCGAGGAUUUCUGGCUGAAAGGCCUGAUUUACAGGAGACUGUGUACCUGGGUUGAUGGAUCUUCCAGUUAUAUCAUGGUGAUUUUUUUUUAAAAAGGCCUAUUGUUUCUUUUUUUUUUGAGGAAGAUUAGCCCUGAACUAACUGCUGCCAAUCCUCCUCUUUUUGCUGAGGAAGACUGGCCCUGAGCUAACAUCCGUGCCCAUCUUCCUCUACUUUAUAUGUGGGACGCCUGCCACAGCAUGGCCUGCCAAGUGGUGCCAUGUCCGCACCAGGGAUCCCAACCAACUAACCCCGGGCCGCCAAGAAGCGGAACGUGGGCACCUAACCGCUGCACCACCAGGCCAGCCCCUGUUUUUUCUUGAGAAGAGAGAAUUGGAAGGUGCAGCAGGGAGAAAAGCAGGUGAGUUCCUGCCCAGAAAACGGGCCUCGGUGGCUCAGUUAGCGAGGCAGGUGAGGUCCCGAAAGCCUUUUGUAAAAGAGGAAUUGCAAACUGCUUGUAAAUGUCUAUGGAUAGUUCCAGACCAUGAAUUUUGAAAACCUAAAGCAUUUCCAGAGAAGCCAAGGGAGAAGCCAGAAUUAAUUGAAGUGGAGAUUGAUAACAGCUCUGAGGGACAGAAGGCACCCGUCUAUACUCAGGGGUUGGGGUUACUUUUAAUCUUGCUCCAAGCGAGAGUUUAUUUUAAAUUUAACAGGCAAAAGAGGGGAGUUAGAUGUCAUUUGUAUUUGUAUCAUUCUUUUAACGUCUCUGUUUUAUGAAAAUAAAUCUAGGGGCCGGCCCA
rnacentral:lncRNA from 1 species